UACGUAGGUGGCAAGCGUUGUCCGGAAUUAUUGGGCGUAAAGCGCGCGCAGGCGGUUCCUUAAGUCUGAUGUGAAAGCCCACGGCUCAACCGUGGAGGGUCAUUGGAAACUGGGGGACUUGAGUGCAGAAGAGGAAAGUGGAAUUCCAUGUGUAGCGGUGAAAUGCGUAGAGAUGUGGAGGAACACCAGUGGCGAAGGCGACUUUCUGGUCUGUAACUGACGCUGAGGCGCGAAAGCGUGGGGAGCAAACAGG
rnacentral:rRNA from 1 species